GCCUCAACCCAGAGAGAAUCACUCCAUUUUCACCAUUGUUAGUGUAGUGAAACAAACGUGAAACUGAGCUGACAUCCAUCUGGAUCACCAGGCUAGGGGCUAGGGGCUUGGGAGGUUAAUGCCCAAGCCCCUAUUCUGUUGUAGAAUUUUGGUUUAAUGUUUGGUAAUGUGUUUAGGUUUACUUUUUAAGUCUUCCACUUUAAAAAAAAAAAACAUGACAAAUGUUUGUAGAAACAGGCUGGAUGGUAUUUUACACUUGCAUGUUUAUUUUCAGGGAAAGGUCUACCCAAGCCCCCAUCAAAAUUUGCCCUGAAGAACCAGAACCUAUGCCACUGCUACCAAGAAGCAAAAGGCUAAAACACAGCACAAGCCACCAAGUAAUGACGCGAAUUCUCUUUGUCUCUCACAUGGCUUAACCCUGGAGCAUGAGGGAGUGGUCUCUUUCUGACUUCUUAAUUGUGGAAUCCACCUCACCAAAUCGCUGCAAAGGAUCAGACCCUUUUCCUGUGACAGACGCAAGCCAAACCAAGCCCCAACUAAAAUCUGCUCCGACACACCAGAAAGCCAGUGCCACUAAGAAGCAAAAGGCUAAAACCCCCUGCAAGCCACCAAUUAUUGGUGGUGAGGGGAAAUGGCAAACUAAAACACCACACAAGCCACCAAGUGUGGGGAUAGAGAAAUGGCAAACUAAAACCAAGCCACCAAGUGAUUAUAGUGAGAGGAUCCUUCACAACUUAAGCCAACUCCUAUUUCUCAUUCUUGACUGUUGUAUUUGGGGAAGGCAUUCUAAUUUUACCAAGAAUUGCUAUGAUGUCCAAUAUUUUAUUGCAGAAAAUGUUGAGCUUUCAUGCUCCAGGGAUGGUCAUGUGCAAGACUCUGCUUCUGCCUCUUCAGAUGAGAGAUCCCCCUCACCAAAGCAUUGCAAAGAAUCAGACCCUUUUCCUACGCCAGAAGCAAACUUUCAAGAGGCAUAUAUCUCCUUUGUGAGAUCCGUGACCUCUUCAAGACAGUCGCCCUAG
rnacentral:lncRNA from 13 species